rnacentral:tRNA from 1 species
UCAUUGGUGGUUCAGUGGUAGAAUUCCAGCCUUCCAUGCGGGAGACCUGGAUUCAAUUCCCAGCCACUGCA